UGGGGUUGUAGCUCAGAGGUAGAGUGCUUGCCUGGCAUGUGUGAGGCUCUGGGUUCAAUCCUCAGCACCACAA
rnacentral:tRNA from 1 species